rnacentral:rRNA from 1 species
AGCCUGAACGCUGGCGGCGUGGCUAAGACAUGCAAGUCGUACGGAGGUAGCAAUACCUCAGUGGCGAACGGGUGAGUAAUGAAUCGCUAACGUGCCCUGGACUUCGGGAUAGCUAUCCGAAAGGGUAGGUAAUACCGGGUGAUAUACCCUUUCCGCAUGGAAGGGGUCUCAAAGGUCCGCCGGUCUUCGGUGGAUGGUCUGGGAGCGGGCGAUUUCGUAUCAGCUAGUUGGUGGGGUAACGGCCCACCAAGGCGACGACGCGUAGCCGGACUGAGAGGUUGGCCGGCCACAUUGGGACUGAGACACUGCCCAGACUCCUACGGGGGGCUGCAGUAACGAAUCUUCCGCAAUGCACGAAAGUGUGACGGAGCGACGCCGCGUGGAGGACGAAGUUCUUCGGAAUGUAAACUCCUGUCAGGGGAAAGAAAGUUCUGAUCUACCCCAGAGGAAGAGGCGGCUAACUCUGUGCCAGCAGCCGC